CGGUGAAUACGUUCCCGGGCCUUGUACACACCGCCCGUCACGCCAUGGGAGUUGGUGUCGCCUGAAAAGACCAAAAGUCUUGACGGCAAUACCGAUGACUGGGGUG
rnacentral:rRNA from 1 species